rnacentral:rRNA from 1 species
ACUGAACGCUGGCGGCAUGCCUAAUACAUGCAAGUCGAACGGAAGCAUAGUAAGCUUUCGCCUUUACCGGUGGCGACUGGCGGACGGGUAAGGCAUAGAUCGGAUACUUCUUAUCCGUGGGGGACUACGUGGGGCAACAGAUGCUACCACCGCAUAUGUUGUACGGGUGAUAUCAGUGGUUAUUUGGAGUUUUCCUGACGCUUUGAUCUGAUUUCGUGUCGGAUUAGCUAGUUGGUAGGGUAAAGGCCCACCAAGGCGACGAUCCGUAGCUGGUCUGAGAGGAUGAUCAGCCACACUGGAACUGAGACACGGUCCAGACUCCUACGGGAGGCAGCAGUGGGGAAUAUUGGACAAUGGGCGCAAGCCUGAUCCAGCCAUACCGCGUGGGUGAAGAAGGCCUUCGGGUUGUAAAGCCCUUUUGUUGGGAAAGAAAAGCAGCAGGUUAAUACCCCGCUGUUCUGACGGUACCCAAAGAAUAAGCACCGGCUAACUUCGUG